rnacentral:rRNA from 1 species
CAGGACGAACGCUGGCGGCGUGCUUAACACAUGCAAGUCGAGCGGAAAGGCCCUCGGGGUACUCGAGCGGCGAACGGGUGAGUAACACGUGAGCAACCUGCCCCUGGCUCUGGGAUAGCCUCCGGAAACGGGGAUUAAUACCGGACAUGACUGCCUGCGGCAUCGUGGGUGGUGGAAAGUUUUUCGGCCAGGGUGGGGCUCGCGGCCUAUCAGCUUGUUGGGGGGUGACGGCCCACCAAGGCGACGACGGGUAGCCGGCCUGAGAGGGCGACCGGCCACACUGGGACUGAGACACGGCCCAGACUCCUGCGGGAGGCAGCAGUGGGGAAUAUUGCGCAAUGGGCGGAAGCCUGACGCCAGCGACGCCGCGUGGGGGAUGAAGGCCUUCGGGUUGUAAACCUCUUUCACCAGGGACGAAGCGCAAGUGACGGUACCUGGGGAAGAAGCGCCGGCUAACUACGUGCCAGCAGCUGC